GACAGAGGGUGCAAACGUUGUUCGGAAUUACUGGGCGUAAAGCGUGUGUAGGCGGUCUUCUAAGUCGGGUGUGAAAGCCCCGGGCUCAACCUGGGAAUUGCAUUCGAGACUGCGUGGCUAGGGUGCGGAAGAGGGAAGCGGAAUUUCCGGUGUAGCGGUGAAAUGCGUAGAUAUCGGAAGGAACACCAGUGGCGAAAGCGGCUUCCUGGUCCAGCACCGACGUUCAGGCACGAAAGCGUGGGGAGCAAACAGG
rnacentral:rRNA from 1 species